GACGAACGCUGGCGGCGUGCUUAACACAUGCAAGUCGAACGGAAAGGCCCUGCUUUUGUUGGUUGCUCGAGUGGCGAACGGGUGAGUAACACGUGAGUAACCUGCCCUUGACUUUGGGAUAACUUCAGGAGACUGGGGCUAAUACCGGAUAGGAGCUCCUGCUGCAUGGUGGUGGUUGGAAAGUUUCGGCGGUUGGGGAUGGACUCGCGGCUUAUCAGCUUGUUGGUGGGGUAGUUGCUUACCAAGGCUUUGACGGGUAGCCGGCAUGAGAGGGUGACCGGCCACCUUGGGACUGAGAUACGGAGCAGACUCCUACGGGCGGCAGCAGUGGGGAAUAUUGCACAAUGGGCGGACGCCUGAGGCAGCAAUGCCGCGUGCGGGAUGCCGGCUUUCGGGUUGUAAACAGAUUUCGCCUGUGACGAAGAGUGAGUGACGGUAAUGGGUAAAGAAGCACCGGCUAACUACGUG
rnacentral:rRNA from 1 species